rnacentral:rRNA from 1 species
ACGUCCGGAACGGGCGCUAAUACCGCAUACGUCCUGAGGGAGAAAGUGGGGGAUCUUCGGACCUCACGCUAUCAGAUGAGCCUAGGUCGGAUUAGCUAGUUGGUGGGGUAAAGGCCUACCAAGGCGACGAUCCGUAACUGGUCUGAGAGGAUGAUCAGUCACACUGGAACUGAGACACGGUCCAGACUCCUACGGGAGGCAGCAGUGGGGAAUAUUGGACAAUGGGCGAAAGCCUGAUCCAGCCAUGCCGCGUGUGUGAAGAAGGUCUUCGGAUUGUAAAGCACUUUAAGUUGGGAGGAAGGGCAGUAAGUUAAUACCUUGCUGUUUUGACGUUACCAACAGAAUAAGCACCGGCUAACUUCGUGCCAGCAGCCGCGGUAAUACGAAGGGUGCAAGCGUUAAUCGGAAUUACUGGGCGUAAAGCGCGCGUAGGUGGUUCAGCAAGUUGGAUGUGAAAUCCCCGGGCUCAACCUGGGAACUGCAUCCAAAACUACUGAGCUAGAGUACGGUAGAGGGUGGUGGAAUUUCCUGUGUAGCGGUGAAAUGCGUAGAUAUAGGAAGGAACACCAGUGAGAGAAAGG